AACGAACGCUGGCGGCAGGCUUAACACAUGCAAGUCGAACGGGCGCAGCAAUGCGUCAGUGGCAGACGGGUGAGUAACACGUGGGAACCUUCCCAAGGGUACGGAACAACUCAGGGAAACUUGAGCUAAUACCGUAUACGCUCUUGCGAGGAAAGAUUCAUCGCCCUUGGAGGGGCCCGCGUAGGAUUAGCUAGUUGGUGGGGUAACGGCCUACCAAGGCGACGAUCCUUAGCUGAUCUGAGAGGAUGAU
rnacentral:rRNA from 1 species